UACGUAGGGGGCAAGCGUUGUCCGGAUUUAUUGGGCGUAAAGCGCGCGUAGGCGGCUUUGUAAGUUAGAGGUGAAAGCCCGGGGCUCAACUCCGGAAUUGCCUUUAAGACUGCAUCGCUAGAAUUGUGGAGAGGUAAGUGGAAUUCCGAGUGUAGAGGUGAAAUUCGUAGAUAUUCGGAAGAACACCAGUGGCGAAGGCGACUUACUGGACACAUAUUGACGCUGAGGUGCGAAAGCGUGGGGAGCAAACAGG
rnacentral:rRNA from 1 species